rnacentral:lncRNA from 1 species
GUUCCUUCUACUUAACUGCUAGUUUGGUGAGUGUUUAGUCUAAGUACUAUUUAUGAUUCCAUGGUAGAUGAGAAAAUAAGAUUAACAUGUAGAAACCCUUGGAGUUGCAUCUAAAACAUGCUGGGCUCAGGUGUCUUUCAGUGGUAGAGUGCAUGCUUAGCACACAUGGGGCUCUAGGUUUUACCUCAGCACCAGUAAAUCAAAUAUGAACUAGUUUUUUUGUGGUCUUUUUUGUUAUUUAACUUGGGUCCUUUUGGACCCAUGAUUCAACUCCUCUACCACCAAGAGCCCUACUGGGCAUCACCACUCUUCCAUACCUUCCUAAUUUCUCCACUCUCUGAGGAUUAGCCACUGUACCACCCCACUCACCUGCUAUGAGUUUGGGCGUUUGGUCACGUGUUGAACAAGGUGUGCACAGCUUGUCUGAUCAGCAAGGCUGUUUCUGAACAGCACAAAAAUAGAGUGCAGGGUUGUUCUUGGCCUCAGGGUGCUUUGCAGAACUUUGGGACAUGUUAAUUCUUAGAGGCUAGAAACGGGAAGAGUUAUGUAAGUCUAUCACAUGCACGUGAUAGGAAAUUAUGACUUUGGAAAAGCCUAGCUGAGAAUCGAACUACUCCAUGAAGUGGUGGACUUUAUGAAUCUCUCUUAUUGAUAAUAAUAACCAGUAUAAUUGAUCACUUAGGAUGUGCUAAGCACUGUCUCUGAUUCUUAUGACUUAAAAGGUGAGUACUCGUUUCUUUUUUAUGUUAAUAAGUGACACUGAAGCUGGAAGAACAGAGGACUGUAGGAUCACACAGCCAGGGACAAGCCAGUAGCUUAAGUUUUCUUAACCCUUUGACAUCUGCUAUACUACUCAGUAGUGAGUCCUGGCAUCCAUUAUAGCAGUAUGGAAACACUGGCAGACACUUGGCUUAUUUAUCACCUUUUGGUACAACAAUAAGCUACGCCAUAUGCAAAGACUGUGUAUGAGGAAUAUGUAUCUGAUUAUGUAUAGAUAGAUUAAGAGCAAUGCUGGGAUUAAAGGUGUGCUCCACCACGCCCGCCACUCCAUAUUUUCAUUCACAGGUUUCUCCUCAGCCCAUUCUUUCUCCAAAACCUGCCUGUUCUGCAUGGUGUUCUUUGAUCCUCUCACAGUCCUGAUGCUCGCGACCAGGAACACCUGCUCCAAGCUGCUGUGACAUUCACAUUCAGACCCUUACUUGGAAGGCUACCCUCUCUAGUAUCUGGCCAGCUGCAAACUGUUGGGGAAUCAAGGGGAUCUCUCUCUCCCUUCCUCUCCCCAAAAGUUUUUGGUACACCAUUCCCAACUUUUUUUCACAACUUCAUUUGCUCUUGAGACAUCACAAUCCCUGACUGCCUAACAAUCUGGUCUCAACCUCUCCCACACCCCUGUAACUCACCUUGACAUUUCCUGCUGUUGUUAGCUUCUGAUGGCUUCUCACAUUUAUAGUCUGUGUGAGCCUCAGAAAGGCAAGUUUUGUGCAGUUCCAAGCUUCUCCUACUUGAACGAAUUGGGAGUGGGUGCUUUUUUGUUUUGUUUUGUUUUGUUUUUCUAUAAAAGCAGGACAGAGAGAUUUCUCAUUAUUCCAGGGAAACAUCCCCUCACUAGUACAAGAGUACAUUUGCAAACCAGCCUUUCAAAGAGCUAUUUCAAAAGCAAUAAGCAAGUGGUUCCAUGGUGAGGAUUACAAACACACCCUCAGGGUCAGUCAAGGGUGAGGAGGACAGUUCUACUAUGACAAGACACAUUGGGCCAGACUCCGUGGGAGAGUGUCAGACAUACAUCUUUAAAGUGCUGUAUCACAAACAGCUUAGAUGCAAGCAAAGGAGAGCUACUUAAAGAAACUAGGUGUAGAUAUCAUGAAGGUGUUGAUUCAAAAGAUGCUUGUGGAGAAUUUGAAGCUAAUUGUUAACUUAAUGUGAGAAUGGGGAAAAGCAAUAUUUUGUAUUAUUGUAAUAUAUAUAUAUAUUGUUAUUUUAAAAUAAGCAUGUAUAAUUAAAUAAAUUAGAUAUUAUAAAUAGA